ensembl:lncRNA
AUGGCUUUUGCAUUUCUUUUUGGCUGGCUUUUGAUUCUGAGUUCAUGCCUUAGUGUAAGGUCCUGUCUGCAGUGUGACCAGGUGGUUGUUUAUGUGCAUGAAGACUUCCUGUCCACAGUUAAAGGAAUCACUGUCCGUGAUCAGAUCGAACUGAAGCAAAUCAUUGAGCAUGCUUACAUCAACUAUCUGUACACCAGCAGACGGUUUCACGGUGUCAUAGAUCCCACGACUCUCUAUCGUGCACGGACAGAAUACCAGAGUGAAUUCAAGAGGCACUGGAAAGAGGACAGGACAGAUUCUGUUCAGUGGGAUAUGAUCAAUAUAGUGGAGAAAGGAAAGAGAAUCCUUCAGAAACAUUUGGAGAUUUUUGCUGCCCACGGUCUGUGUCCAAAUAAAUGUGGGCUGUUGUAUCAGAGAGUGAUGAACUGCACUUCCUGCCAGUAUGGGCUCUUUAUGUGUCAGUCAGCCAUGCCGCCACUAGACUGUGGAGAGCAUCAUCUUGAGGCAGAUGAAGGAGAGGAGGUGGUGCUGGACUGUUUCCUGCCCUGGCACGCUCUUGUAGUUGGGCAGAACGAGUACCAAUACUCUUGGCAUCCUGGAGAAAAGAAUGUACAUGCACACAGACAAACAAACACAUUUGCUGUUUUCAAAGAAUCCUGAAGCCAUUUUGAAUACUGUUUCAGACAACAUCAGAAAUACACUGUAAAAUGUUUUUUGUUUUUUUUUGAAAAGAGUCCUUAUUACAGUUGACAUACACUUUAAAAGAAUAUAAAAGACUGUAAUGUUUUC